rnacentral:tmRNA from 1 species
GGGGAUGACAUGGAUUCGACGGGCGGAGACGUGGAGCAGACUGCGUGCCGAGCUGCCUGGUAUGCUCGUAAAUCUCGCCAGGAAACCGGUAAAUGCGAACGAUUACGCAUACGCGAUGGCGGCCUAAUCAGGCCUGACCAUCUGUCUCCGGCAAGGCACGUCCACCGGCCUGCCUGGAGGCAUCGACCUCAGGUGGACUGGUCGUAAGGGCACCGGCUGAGCCCGAGCGACGAGACCCAAUCAGCCUUGGCCUGCAUCUGGCCUCGCCGACCGGCACACGAUGCAGGCGACACCCCAAUAGGUCGGCUACGCACGUAGACGUCUGUGUCUGCGGCCGUCCGGACCCGGGUUCGAUUCCCGGCAUCUCCACAA